rnacentral:rRNA from 1 species
UAGCUAGUUGGUGGGGUAAGGGCCUACCAAGGCGACGAUCGGUAGCUGGUCUGAGAGGAUGACCAGCCACACUGGAACUGAGACACGGUCCAGACUCCUACGGGAGGCAGCAGUGGGGAAUAUUGGACAAUGGGGGCAUCCCUGAUCCAGCAAUGCCGCGUGUGUGAAGAAGGCCUGAGGGUUGUAAAGCACUUUCAGUGGGGAGGAGGGUUGAUAGGUUAAGAGCUGAUUAACUGGACGUUACCCACAGAAGAAGCACCGGCUAACUCCGUGCCAGCAGCCGCGGUAAUACGGAGGGUGCGAGCGUUAAUCGGAAUUACUGGGCGUAAAGGGUGCGUAGGUGGUUGAUUAAGUUAUCUGUGAAAUUCCUGGGCUUAACCUGGGACGGUCAGAUAAUACUGGUUGACUCGAGUAUGGGAGAGGGUAGUGGAAUUUCCGGUGUAGCGGUGAAAUGCGUAGAGAUCGGAAGGAACACCAGUGGCGAAGGCGGCUACCUGGCCUAAUACUGACACUGAGGCACGAAAGCGUGGGGAGCAAACAGGAUUAGAUACCCUGGUAGUCCACGCUGUAAACGAUGUCAACUAGCUGUUGGUUAUAUGAAAAUAAUUAGUGGCGC